rnacentral:rRNA from 1 species
AUUGAACGCUGGCGGCAGGCCUAACACAUGCAAGUCGAGCGGAUGAAGGGAGCUUGCUCCUGGAUUCAGCGGCGGACGGGUGAGUAAUGCCUAGGAAUCUGCCUGGUAGUGGGGGAUAACGUCCGGAAACGGGCGCUAAUACCGCAUACGUCCUGAGGGAGAAAGUGGGGGAUCUUCGGACCUCACGCUAUCAGAUGAGCCUAGGUCGGAUUAGCUAGUUGGUGGGGUAAAGGCCUACCAAGGCGACGAUCCGUAACUGGUCUGAGAGGAUGAUCGGUCACACUGGAACUGAGACACGGUCCAGACUCCGACGGGAGGCAGCAGUGGGGAAUAUUGGACAAUGGGCGAAAGCCUGAUCCAGCCAUGCCGCGUGUGUGAAGAAGGUCUUCGGAUUGUAAAGCACUUUAAGUUGGGAGGAAGGGCAGUAAGUUAAGACCUUGCUGUUUUGACGUUACCAACAGAAGAAGCACCGGCUAACUUCGUG